GAUGUUUACAUUUUGCUCUAGUUUACGAUGUACUUAUUCCAUAAAACUAGGCAGGUGUUGAACGUACACGACGCGUUGCUCUUUGGCUCUCGAGAAGGUUCAUUCUCCAAAACUAGUAGGACAACAUAAAAAUGAACGCGUUCAUCAUACUGAGUCUCUGGUGUGCUUCUCUGAUGACAGGAGUCAGUGUGGCGACAACACAAUACGUGUACCCUCCUACAAUCAAAUUGUGGCCCUGUGACAGUCGCGAGUGCACCGACAAGUGUCAGAAGCUGUAUUGCGCACCUGGAGCACUCUGUAGACUAGGGGAAUGUACCCAGGACCGAACUGCAGCUUGCAAGUGUACUAUUUUCGGAAGGCCUACAAAAUAUUAUCCAGAGGGCUGAACAAAUAAAACGAAUAACAUAUUCGGA